rnacentral:rRNA from 1 species
AACUCCGGAUCUGCGGUGGGUACGGGCAGACUAGAGUGCAGUAGGGGAGACUGGAAUUCCUGGUGUAGCGGUGAAAUGCGCAGAUAUCAGGAGGAACACCGAUGGCGAAGGCAGGUCUCUGGGCUGUAACUGACGCUGAGGAGCGAAAGCAUGGGGAGCGAACAGGAUUAGAUACCCUGGUAGUCCAUGCCGUAAACGUUGGGCACUAGGUGUGGGGGACAUUCCACGUUUUCCGCGCCGUAGCUAACGCAUUAAGUGCCCCGCCUGGGGAGUACGGCCGCAAGGCUAAAACUCAAAGGAAUUGACGGGGGCCCGCACAAGCGGCGGAGCAUGCGGAUUAAUUCGAUGCAACGCGAAGAACCUUACCAAGGCUUGACAUGAACCGGAAUGAUGCAGAGAUGUGUCAGCCACUUGUGGCCGGUUUACAGGUGGUGCAUGGUUGUCGUCAGCUCGUGUCGUGAGAUGUUGGGUUAAGUCCCGCAACGAGCGCAACCCUCGUUCCAUGUUGCCAGCGGGUUAUGCCGGGGACUCAUGGGAGACUGCCGGGGUCAACUCGGAGGAAGGUGGGGACGACGUCAAAUCAUCAUGCCCCUUAUGUCUUGGGCUUCACGCAUGCUACAAUGGCCGGUACAAAGGGUUGCGAUACUGUGAGGUGGAGCUAAUCCCAAAAAGCCGGUCUCAGUUCGGAUUGAGGUCUGCAACUCGACCUCAUGAAGUUGGAGUCGCUAGUAAUCGCAGAUCAGCAACGCUGCGGUGAAUACGUUCCCGGGCCUUGUACACACCGCCCGUCUAUCACGAAAGUUGGUAACACCCGAAGCCGGUGGCCUAACCCCUUGGGGAGGGAGCC